GUGGGGCUGAGCUGUUGUUCUAGAAGAAAAAAGGAUGUCUUGUCCUGUGUGAACUGGAACAGUGCUUAGAAAUCGAGGAGCGUGGCCCUGGGAACAGGGCCUGUGUGCUGUUGUUUUUGCUUCCUCAUUAAUGAGCAUGGGCCUUCAAUGAGCUCCUUUCCCUUGCUGGCCUUCAUUUGUAAAAUGUUGGCUGACGGCUAAGGGUGUUUAUUCCUCUAAAAUCACCUAAUUAGA
rnacentral:lncRNA from 1 species